rnacentral:piRNA from 1 species
UGGGGACAGUGUGUACAAAAAGGACA